GACGGAGGAGGCAAGCGAUAUCCGGAAAUAUGGGGCGCAAAGGGUACGUAGGCGGCUGGUCAAGUCUGGGGUCAAAGGCCACAGCUCAACUGUGGGAAGGCCCUGGAAACUGACCGGCUAGAGUGAGGUAGGGGUUGCGGGAAUUCCCGGUGUAGCGGUGAAAUGCGUAGAGAUCGGGAAGAACACCUGAGGCGGAAGCGCGCAACUGGGCCUCAGCUGACGCUGAGGUACGAAAGCUAGGGGAGCGAAGGGG
rnacentral:rRNA from 1 species